rnacentral:rRNA from 1 species
GACGAACGCUGGCGGCGUGCUUAACACAUGCAAGUCGAACGGAAAGGCCCUGCUUUUGUGGGGUGCUCGAGUGGCGAACGGGUGAGUAACACGUGAGUAACCUGCCCUUGACUUUGGGAUAACUUCAGGAAACUGGGGCUAAUACCGGAUAGGAGCUCCUGCUGCAUGGUGGGGGUUGGAAAGUUUCGGCGGUUGGGGAUGGACGCGCGGCUUAUCAGCUUGUUGGUGGGGUAGUGGCUUACCAAGGCUUUGACGGGUAGCCGGCCUGAGAGGGUGACCGGCGACCUGGGGACUGCGAGAGGGCCCAGAGUCCUACGGGAGGCAGCAGUGGGGAAUAUGGCACAAUGGGCGGAAGCCUGAGGCAGAAACGUCGCGUGCGGGAUGACGGCCUUCGGGUUGUAAACCGCUUUCGCCUGUGACGAAGCGUGAGUGACGGUAAUGGGUAAAGAAGCACCGGCUAACUACGUG